rnacentral:rRNA from 1 species
AGUGAACGCUGGCGGCGUGCCUAAUACAUGCAAGUCGAACGGUAACAGGAAGUAGCUUGCUACUUUGCUGAUUAGUGGCGCACGGGUGAGUCAUGCAUAGGUCAUGUGCCCCAUAGUCUGGGAUAGCCACUGGAAACGGUGAUUAAUCCUGGAUACUCCCGAGAGGGGAAAGUUUUUCGCUAUGGGAUCAGCCUAUGUCCUAUCAGCUUGUUGGUGAGGUAAUGGCUCACCAAGGCUAUGACGGGUAUCCGGCCUGAGAGGGUGAACGGACACACUGGAACUGAGACACGGUCCAGACUCCUACGGGAGGCAGCAGUAGGGAAUAUUGCUCAAUGGGGGAAACCCUGAAGCAGCAACGCCGCGUGGAGGAUGAAGGUCUUCGGAUUGUAAACUCCUUUUCUAAGAGAAGAUUAUGACGGUAUCUUAGGAAUAAGCACCGGCUAACUCCGUG